rnacentral:rRNA from 1 species
GACGAACGCUGGCGGCGUGCUUAACACAUGCAAGUCGAACGGUAAGGCUCCAGCUUGCUGGGGUACACGAGUGGCGAACGGGUGAGUAACACGUGGGUGACCUGCCCUGCACUUCGGGAUAAGCCUGGGAAACUGGGUCUAAUACCGGAUAGGACCGCACCGUGAGGGUGUGGUGGAAAGUUUUUUCGGUGUGGGAUGGGCCCGCGGCCUAUCAGCUUGUUGGUGGGGUAAUGGCCUACCAAGGCGGCGACGGGUAGCCGGCCUGAGAGGGUGGACGGCCACAUUGGGACUGAGACACGGCCCAGACUCCUACGGGAGGCAGCAGUGGGGAAUAUUGCACAAUGGGCGGAAGCCUGAUGCAGCGACGCCGCGUGGGGGAUGACGGCCUUCGGGUUGUAAACUCCUUUCACCAUCGACGAAGGGUUUCUGACGGUAGAUGGAGAAGAAGCACCGGCUAACUACGUGCCAGCAGCCGCGGUAAUACGUAGGGUGCGAGCGUUGUCCGGAAUUACUGGGCGUAAAGAGCUCGUAGGUGGUUUGUCGCGUCGUCUGUGAAAUUCCGGGGCUUAACUCCGGGCGUGCAGGCGAUACGGGCAUAACUUGAGUACUGUAGGGGAGACUGGAAUUCCUGGUGUAGCGGUGAAAUGCGCAGAUAUCAGGAGGAACACCGGUGGCGAAGGCGGGUCUCUGGGCAGUAACUGACGCUGAGGAGCGAAAGCAUGGGGAGCGAACAGGAUUAGAUACCCUGGUAGUCCAUGCCGUAAACGGUGGGCGCUAGGUGUGGGUUUCCUUCCACGGGAUCCGUGCCGUAGCUAACGCAUUAAGCGCCCCGCCUGGGGAGUACGGCCGCAAGGCUAAAACUCAAAGGAAUUGACGGGGGCCCGCACAAGCGGCGGAGCAUGUGGAUUAAUUCGAUGCAACGCGAAGAACCUUACCUGGGCUUGACAUAUACAGGAUCGCGCCAGAGAUGGUGUUUCCCUUGUGGCUUGUAUACAGGUGGUGCAUGGUUGUCGUCAGCUCGUGUCGUGAGAUGUUGGGUUAAGUCCCGCAACGAGCGCAACCCUUAAGCUUAGUUGCCAUCAUUAAGUUGGGCACUCUAAGUUGACUGCCGGUGACAAACCGGAGGAAGGUGGGGAUGACGUCAAAUCAUCAUGCCCCUUAUGAUUUGGGCUACACACGUGCUACAAUGGACAAUACAAAGGGCAGCGAAACCGCGAGGUCAAGCAAAUCCCAUAAAGUUGUUCUCAGUUCGGAUUGUAGUCUGCAACUCGACUACAUGAAGCUGGAAUCGCUAGUAAUCGUAGAUCAGCAUGCUACGGUGAAUACGUUCCCGGGUCU